rnacentral:rRNA from 1 species
AUUGAACGCUGGCGGCAUGCCUAACACAUGCAAGUCGAACGGCAGCACAGCAUGUAGCAAUACAUGUGGGUGGCGAGUGGCGGACGGGUGAGUAACGCGUUGGAAUCUGCCCUAUAGUGGGGGACAACCCGACGAAAGUCGGGCUAAUACCGCAUACGCCUACGGGGAAAGGCUUCGGCCGCUAUUGGAUGAGCCCGCGUCGGAUUAGCUAGUUGGUGAGGUAAUGGCUCACCAAGGCGACGAUCCGUAGCUGGUCUGAGAGGACGAUCAGCCACACUGGGACUGAGACACGGCCUAGACUCCUACGGGAGGCAGCAGUGGGGAAUAUUGCACAAUGGGCGAAAGCCUGAUGCAGCAAUGCCGCGUGUGUGAAGAAGGCCUGCGGGUUGUAAGGCACUUUCGGUAGGGAAGAUUAUGACGGUACCUACAGAAGAAGCACCGGCUAACUCCGUGCCAGCAGCCGCGAUAAU